rnacentral:lncRNA from 1 species
CAAGGAAUGCCUGCAGCCCAGGAUUCCUCCUAAGCCUCCUCUCGUCUGUGCAGGACCCCACUGAAAAUCACACUGUUCAACUCACCUGGCAGCCAUUCCCAGAGCCCCUGGAACUCUGGCCCGAGGCUCUUUGACUGACUCCUUCCCAGAUCAUCUCAGCUUAGCAGCUGAAGACUGAUGCUGCCCCAUCGCUUCGGAAGCCCCGUAGACCAUCAAGGAUGCCGAGCUUUAAGUAACUCUCACAGUGGAGGCUUGAUGAACACCUGUUUUCGAAGUCCUGAAUCUGUAGUCAUAAGAUUCAGCCCUGUUUCCUUCCAAAUCUUGACUUCAUAUUCAAACUAGAGAAUAAAAAUUUAAAAACAGGCCCUUGUGCCUAGGAUGUAGAAAAAUUACUAAUUGUUUUCCUAUGUCCCACGUAAAAUACCAAACAGUUUUUAACCAUUAUGAAAAUGUAUCGUAAGACAGCUUCAAAAUAAAG